UUUAAGGUAGGGGAGGUCCAGCCUGCCCAGUGACUACAAGUUCAACGGCCGCGGUAUUUUAACCGUGCAAAGGUAGCGCAAUCACUCGUCCUUUAAAUAGGGACCUGUAUGAAUGGUUAGACGAGGGCUUAACUGUCUCCCUUUUCCAGUCAGUGAAAUUGAUCUAUCCGUGCAGAAGCGGGUAUAACCAUACAAGACGAGAAGACCCUUUGGAGCUUUAGGUACAAGUCUCACCCAUGUUAAGUAAGUUAUAACAAACCCAAAACCCAAUGAAAAAUGAGACACUACCUUCGGUUGGGGCGACCACGGAGGAAAAAAUAGCCUCCGAGUAGACUGGAAAAUUUCCAAAACCAAGAACAACAAUUCUAAGCAACAGAACAUCUGACUAAAUAUGACCCGGCCACUUAAGCCGAUCAACGAACCAAGUUACCCAAGGGAUAACAGCGCAAUCCUCUUCCAGAGUUCAUAUCGACGAGGGGGUUUACGACCUCGAUGUUGGAUCAGGACAUCCUAAUGGUGCAGCCGCUAUUAAGGGUUCGUUUGUUCAACGAUUAAAGUCCUACGUGAUCUGAGUUCCAGACCGGACGUCGCCUGUUUAUCAAA
rnacentral:rRNA from 1 species